GACGAACGCUGGCGGCGUGCCUAAUACAUGCAAGUCGAACGCUUCUUUCCUCCCGAGUGCUUGCACUCAAUUGGAAAGAGGAGUGGCGGACGGGUGAGUAACACGUGGGUAACCUACCCAUCAGAGGGGGAUGACACUUGGAAACAGGUGCUAAUACCGCAUAACAGUUUAUGCCGCAUGGCAUAAGGGUGAACGGCGCUUUCGGGUGUCGCUGAUGGAUGGACCCGCGGUGCAUUAGCUAGUUGGUGAGGUAACGGCUCACCAAGGCCACGAUGCAUAGCCGACCUGAGGGGGUGAUCGGCCACACUGGGACUGAGACACGGCCCAGACUCCUACGGGAGGCAGCAGUAGGGAAUCUUCGGCAAUGGACGAAAGUCUGACCGAGCAACGCCGCGUGAGUGAAGAAGGUUUUCGGAUCGUAAAACUCUGUUGUUAGAGAAGAACAAGGACGUUAGUAACUGAACGUCCCCUGACGGUAUCUAACCAGAAAGCCACGGCUAACUACGUG
rnacentral:rRNA from 1 species